rnacentral:rRNA from 1 species
GAGAACGACGUGCAGGGGGGGGGGGGAAUAGGGGGGGUGGGAGGGUUGGCGGGAAUUAGUGGGCGUAAAGAGCGCGUGGGUGGUUUGUCGCGUUGUAUGUGAAAGCGCACGGCUUAACGGUGAGCGGGCGGGCGAGACGGGCAGACGGGAGUACUGCAGGGGAGACUGGAAUUCCUGGUGUAGCGGUGGAAUGCGCAGAUAUCAGGAGGAACACCGGUGGCGAAGGCGGGUCUCUGGGCAGUAACUGACGCUGAGGAGCGAAAGCGUGGGGAGCGAACAGGAUUAGAUACCCCGGUAGUC